rnacentral:rRNA from 1 species
UACGUAGGGUGCGAGCGUUAAUCGGAAUUACUGGGCGUAAAGCGUGCGCAGGCGGCGCGUUAAGACAGGUGUGAAAGCCCCGAGCUUAACUUGGGAAUUGCGCUUGUGACUGGCGUGCUGGAGUGUGGCAGAGGGAGGUGGAAUUCCACGUGUAGCAGUGAAAUGCGUAGAGAUGUGGAGGAACACCGAUGGCGAAGGCAGCCUCCUGGGCCAGCACUGACGCUCAUGCACGAAAGCGUGGGGAGCAACAGG